rnacentral:lncRNA from 1 species
ACACAAGCAAGUGUUUUUUUUCAUGAGAGCAUAAACACUCCUUAGAUCUCUCAUGAAAAACAAACGAAAAAGACAAACAAAAAAGAGAGACGUUCCUGAUCGUCUUCUUCAACCAAGAGCAGCCACCUCUUCUUGAUAAAACAAGGCUUCAGCCUCAAAACACACACAUGUACGUAAGAACAAAAAACAGAGAGCUAGAAAAGUCCAAUGGAGUAAAGGGAGAACAGGGUCCAAAAUAAAGGGAAAGUUCGAUGAAAAUUCUAAAUGUGUUCAUAGUUCUUCCGAGUUCUGGUUCUGGUUUAUGUGUCCUACUCUUGAUUUGGAAUUACAAAUUGUUAAAUCGAAGCUCAGAUUCAAUAAAGGUCCCUUUCCUUCCUUUAGUUCACCUCAUGAAUGGUAAAAUAUCAUAUGUAGUUAAUUGUAUUAAUCUUAU